GUUGAACGCUGGCGGCGGGCCUAACACAUGCAAGUCGAGCGGACGGAGGGAGAUUGUUCCUUUAUUCAGCUGCCGGCGGGUGGGUGAUUCCUAGGAAUCUACCCUACCUUUAGGAAUAGGGUAAGUUCGGGGGAGCUGAUCCAACAUACGUCCAUAGUUUGAAACUGAUGGUUCUUCAGACCAAACCCGAUCUGCUGUGCCUGGGUGGCAUUAGCUAGUUGGUAUGGUAAAGGCUUACCAAGGCAACGAUGCAUAGCUGAUCUGAGAGGGUGAUCGGCCACACUGGAACUGAGACACGGUCCAGACUCCUACGGGAGGCAGCAGUAGGGAAUCUUCGGCAAUGGGCGAAAGCCUGACGGAGCAACGCCGCGUGAGUGAUGAAGGUCUUCGGAUCGUAAAACUCUGUUAUUAGGGAGGAACAUAUGUAUAAGUAACUGUGCACAUCUUGACGGUACCUAAUCAGAAAGCCACGGCUAACUACGUG
rnacentral:rRNA from 1 species